UGGGGAAUUUUGGACAAUGGGCGAAAGCCUGAUCCAGCAAUGCCGCGUGUGUGAAGAAGGCCUUCGGGUUGUAAAGCACUUUGUCCGGAAAGAAAUCCUUGGCUCUAAUACAGUCGGGGGAUGACGGUACCGGAAGAAUAAGCACCGGCUAACUACGUGCCAGCAGCCGCGGUAAUACGUAGGGUGCAAGCGUUAAUCGGAAUUACUGGGCGUAAAGCGUGCGCAGGCGGUUUGCUAAGACCGAUGUGAAAUCCCCGGGCUCAACCUGGGAACUGCAUUGGUGACUGGGCAGGCUAGAGUAUGGCAGAGGGGGGUAGAAUUCCACGUGUAGCAGUGAAAUGCGUAGAGAUGUGGAGGAAUACCGAUGGCGAAGGCAGCCCCCUGGGCCAAUACUGACGCUCAUGCACGAAAGCGUGGGGAGCAAACAGGAUUAGAUACCCUGGUAGUCCACGCCCUAAACGAUGUCAACUAGUUGUUGGGGAUUCAUUUCCUUAGUAACGUAGCUAACGCGUGAAGUUGACCGCCUGGGGAGUACGGUCGCAAGAUUAAAACUCAAAUGAAUUGACGGGGUC
rnacentral:rRNA from 1 species